rnacentral:rRNA from 1 species
GUCCACGCCGUAAACGAUGGACACUAGCCGUUCGAAGCAUUAACCCUUUGAGUGGCAAAGCUAACGCAUUAAGUGUCCCGCCUGGGAAGUACGGUCGCAAGACUAAAACUCAAAGGAAUUGACGGGGCCCGCACAAGCGGUGGAGUAUGUGGUUUAAUUCGACGCAACGCGCAGAACCUUACCUGGUCUUGACAUCGCGAGAUCUCCGCAGAGAUGUGGAUUUACCUUCGGGUACUCGUAGACAGGUGCUGCAUGGCUGUCGU